GCCCGGAUGGCGGAACUGGCAUACGCGCACGACUCAAAAUCGUGUCCCGCAAGGGUUGUGGGUUCAACUCCCACUCUGGGCACCA
rnacentral:tRNA from 3 species